UAAUGACUCYCGSCAACGGAUAYCUCGGCUCUUGCAUCGAUSAAGAACGYAGCGAAAUGCGAUACUUGGUGUGAAUUGCAGAAUCCCGUGAACCAUCGAGUCUUUGAACGCAAGUUGCGCCCAAAGUCGUUAGGCUGAGGGCACGCCUGCCUGGGCGUCACGC
rnacentral:rRNA from 1 species